GACGAACGCUGGCGGCGUGCUUAACACAUGCCAGUCGAACGGAAAGGCCUCUUUCGGGGGGUACUCGAGUGGCGAACGGGUGAGUAACACGUGAGUAACCUGCCCUUGACUUUGGGAUAACUUCAGGAAACUGGGGCUAAUACCGGAUAGGAGCUCCUGCUGCAUGGUGGGGGUUGGAAAGUUUCGGCGGUUGGGGAUGGACUCGCGGCUUAUCAGCUUGUUGGUGGGGUAGUGGCUUACCAAGGCUUUGACGGGUAGCCGGCCUGAGAGGGUGACCGGCCACAUUGGGACUGAGAAACGGCCCAGACUACUACGGGGGGCAGCAGUGGGGAAGAUUGCACAAUGGGUGGAAGCCUGAUGCAGCAACGCCGUGUGCGGGAUGACGGCCUUCGGGUUGGAAACCGCUUUCGCUCAUGACGAAGCUUUGUGUGACGGUAGUGGGUAAAGAAGCACCGGCUAACUACGUG
rnacentral:rRNA from 1 species